rnacentral:misc_RNA from 1 species
UUACCUCUCAAGCCUGGCUUGUUGUUGGACUCGCGGUCUUGCUUUGGCUAUGACCGGUCCUAAAGAUAAUGACGGCGUCUGUGAGGACCCCAGUACAAUGAGCUUCUAAGCACGUACUAGGCGGGAGUCCAGGCCCGGUCUUGCCUAUUAUUUUCUCUAA